rnacentral:rRNA from 1 species
UACGAAGGGGGCUAGCGUUGUUCGGAAUUACUGGGCGUAAAGCGCGUGUAGGCGGGUCCUUAAGUCAGGGGUGAAAUGCCAAGGCUCAACCUUGGAACUGCCUUUGAUACUGGGGAUCUUGAGUCCGGGAGAGGUGAGUGGAACUGCGAGUGUAGAGGUGAAAUUCGUAGAUAUUCGCAAGAACACCAGUGGCGAAGGCGGCUUACUGGUCCGGUUCUGACGCUGAGGUGCGAAAGCGUGGGGAGCAAACAGG